CUGAUGCAGCUAUGGCGGCGACGGCUGGCCGAGUCACGGGCUGCAGCAGGAGCAGGUCCAAGGAGACGCCGAUGGCAACAACUUCGUGAGGAGGUUGGAGGCGAAGGCGGCGGCCGGCCGACUCAGGCGGCAGCAGGGGCAGGAUGGAUCUAGCGCCGGCGGGAGGAGAUUCGAGGCGGAGCUGGCCCAGCCGAGCCACAGGCGAGGG
rnacentral:lncRNA from 1 species